GUCUAGCUGACGAGUCCCGAAUAGGACGAGACGCGAGUCCUGAAU
rnacentral:hammerhead_ribozyme from 1 species